GAAGGAAAAUUAAUUACAGAGGCAGUUUUCAAAGAAAGCAAUAUCCAGCUGUUUGCAAUACAUCGCAGUAGUACCAAGCUUCUGGCUGUGAAACAUCCAGCAGGCUGUAACUUAGCAAUGGUUAUUGGCCCAUAAAUUGCCACAAUCUUAUACCAAUCUGAAGGAUUCUGAAGAUAUUAAAAUAAGUGGCACAAAAGGAACUAAAGAGCCUGCAAGAGCAUGGGGAGGAUGCAGCAGCACUGCUUUCAGGUCAGUGCCUGGAAGAAGCAGAUUCCUGUGUGAUAGAGGUUACCAGUCUUUCAGAAUUACAAGAGGAAGCCCUGCACGUGAAUUUAAAAAAUAUUGAUCCUCAG